rnacentral:rRNA from 1 species
GUGAACGCUGGCGGUAGGCCUAACACAUGCAAGUCGAACGGCAGCACAGUAAGAGCUUGCUCUUACGGGUGGCGAGUGGCGGACGGGUGAGGAAUACAUCGGAAUCUACUUUUUCGUGGGGGAUGACGUAGGGAAACUUACGCUAAUACCGCAUACGACCUACGGGUGAAAGCAGGGGAUCUUCGGACCUUGCGCGAUUGAAUGAGCCGAUGUCGGAUUAGCUAGUUGGCGGGGUAAAGGCCCACCAAGGCGACGAUCCGUAGCUGGUCUGAGAGGAUGAUCAGCCACACUGGAACUGAGACACGGUCCAGACUCCUACGGGAGGCAGCAGUGGGGAAUAUUGGACAAUGGGCGCAAGCCUGAUCCAGCCAUACCGCGUGGGUGAAGAAGGCCUUCGGGUUGUAAAGCCCUUUUGUUGGGAAAGAAAAGCAGCAGGUUAAUACCCCGCUGUUCUGACGGUACCCAAAGAAUAAGCACCGGCUAACUUCGCG